rfam:Eimeria brunetti, Houghton, WGS project CBTX01000000 data, contig: Ebh_scaff7987_1
GGUUAGCACUGCGGACUUUGAAUCCGCCGACCUGGGUUCAAGUCCCAGUAGGACCU